rnacentral:tRNA from 1 species
GGCCUCGUAGCUCAGUUAGUAGAGCACACGCGUACAGAACGCAGGCGCCUUCAUGCGUGGGCUCGAAUCCCACCAACGCUA